GCUUGUAUCGUCGUCUAGGCCAUGAUAAUAUGAUGGAGUGGUGUUAUACUCAUACCUCUUAGGAGUUGCAGCUGGUAGUAUAUCUCUAAUUUGCCUCACUGGUUCAGACAUGAAGGGAGAUGGUUGUCGCUUCAUAGCAUAUUGAGGUUGUUGUUGAUCCAUGGUCAUGGAUUUUGCGGCAGGUAAGAAACGGUUCAACAUGAAAUCCCGAGAUUGAUCAGGAUCCUGAGAGGCCAUUGGCGGUUUCGUUGCUUCAAUACUACCACUUACGCUUUGCUUUAGAGAUAAUGUGUCAAGGGCAUCAGAGAAGACAUCAUCAUCUUCACUUUCUUCUUCAAUUGCUUUCUCCAAGGAACUUUUGAAAACAACAGAAGCAGAUUCAGGAACAUGAUCCAAGCCAAGAACAGGAAGAGAAGGAGAUUCACUUGUCUUGGAGUCAUCAUGAGUAAGUUUCUUAGCCAUGUUUUUGCGCACAGAGACUGCUUCUUUCUUCAUCUCCCUUGUUGAAAGAAGAGGUGCCUCAAAGUUAAGUUUGCUUUCUGCCAUAGGAAACGUGCAGGUGAACCAAACAAAGCCGUUAGAAAAGCUCAGUGAUCGAUGAGCUGAUAGUUGACUAACACUUGCACAUGAUGUUCACAGUUCUCCAAAACAGAUCUGAACAAAAAAAAUUCAUAGAUAAAUAAUAAAACUAGAGCAACCUAGAUUCCAUUUAUUAAUAGCUGAUUAAUUAAAUAAUUACAGACACUGAGAUAUAUGCACCAACGACAAAUCUGAAGGUGGAAACUUACAAAAAGAAAAAACCUGUGAAAUGGACUUUACUAGAAACUAGUAUUAAUUAGUUAUAAAUGCGCAGCUAAACUUUCAAACACCAUAUAAGAGUGUGAUCAUCAUCUUUGAAGCAAGCAAGUAGGAAACAAGUAAAGCGGGGUAAACAAUGCAUGAUUCAAUCUAUGGCAAUGAAGAAUCAAGAGAGAGAGAUUUCAAAACUAUUUCUUAAAGGACUAGUUAUAAAGAACAAGUAAUGAAAUCAACUAACCAGGGAGAUGGAAGGAGAGAAGCUUCUGCAACGGGAGUGUUUGUGUGAGUGAGGUGAGAAAAGGGAGAGACACUACUUGAUGAGUUUGAGAAGAAGUAAACACAAAGGCAUCAGAGAUAAGGAGUAAGCUUUUGGUUACGUGUAAAUGUGUUUUUGUGCCUUGAAGAUGACGGUUACCAAGUCACGAGACGAUAUAUAUUCUUGUUUUCAAGCCCCAAUUGAUGAGAGUAUUUAAUUCCAUUAACGUCUCCUCAACUAACUUCUGAGAUGUAAUAAUGUGACAAACAUCAAUUCUACAGAUACACUUCAUACUGUGAAAAGUAUGAAUCUUUUUCUUUUCUCUUUUUGCCUAACUUAAUGGUUUGCACGUUACGCUAAAGGAAAAGGCAAUUGUAGAGAUGGUAAGAAAAAUCUAUGGCUCGGAUGUGAAGACAACAAAAGAAACAUCUUCAAUGUUCAUAUCAUAUAGUAUUGUAGGUAAAGUGUUUUAACAGGUACAACAAACCAUCCCAACAUAACAACUCAGAUUCAGCCAAAAAUCAAUGAAAUUAAACAAAUAAUAUAAAGCAUCACGAGAGAAGAAAAGACCCAUGAAACCAUAACCAUAAGAACGUUACGUUCAGCUCUGCACCUGAGCUUCUGCAGCUUCUUUUUCUUCAUUGGCUGCAGCCAUUAGCUCAUCAAACUUCUCUGACUUGCCAAGCGUAAUUUCAAUCUGCAAGACCAAAGAUAAUCAAAUUUUGACAACUCACGGAAAAGCUCGAUGACAAUCAAUCAUCCCAUGAAAACUACCUUAGGUUUCUGCACAGGACGUCCCCUUGAGCCAUCCUUAAUAUCAACAGUUGAAGUCAUGAUCUCUAUACACACAUACAAAAACAAAGCUUAGUUGCCAAAUCUCCAAAUCGUAUAAAUAUAAAAACUAAAAUCCAAGAAACUGACUCUUUUCAACAGCAAAACCAUUGUUCUUGAGUAUUUCAGCAAUGGUAACAACGGUUGCAAUGGCUGCACAUUUAGCAACAUGUUCCAAUAGAAACUCAAUUAGGACAAAGGCUAUAUAACCAAUAAUAAACACAAUAACAGUUACAGAAGAGGGAUAUUAAGAAGACACAUACCCAUCCCAAGGGCAGACAAUUCGACAUCAUUGUGCUCUUGCAUAUACCUCUGAAACAAGAGUCAAAAACAAAACCCAGUUACAUCAAUAUCUAACAAGAUCCUAAAACACACAUGUAACAACCAAUCAAAGCUUAGACCUUUGUGAUUCUCACAAGACAGCUAGAGUAUAGAAAUUUCCAGAAAGAUUGAACCUUUUGAAUGGAUAAGAGUCACACAAUGAUCGAAACAGAUCGUCGAGUCGAGAAAAUAAAAAGAAAAGCGUGUACCUUGGCGAGGUUGACGUAGAAGAACAAUGGUUUCUUGGUGUUGGAAACUUGAAUCCGGUUCUUCUUCUGGGAAUCAACGGCCAAGUUCAUGUUGUUCACUCCGUCUGUAAUCUCUUCCAUGGACUCUGAUUCAGGAAUCUGUAACCCUAAUUUGUUUGUUUCGAGGUGAGGUGAGGUGACGAGUCAAUCAAUAAAUUUAGAAGACAAGAUAGAGAGAGAGAGGCUUGUGGAGUUUGUGACCCGAUUCUUCUUACUAACCAUCCGGGUCAACCCGGUUUAGUGGAUUGGGUUGUUGGGCCUUUAAACUAUAGGUGUUUGGAAGAUUGUGUCAUCUACCUUCAUUUAUUUCUCUUUGGGCCUGUUUGUUUCUCCAUCUGGAUGGGCCAUCUGAAUGAAGAUGAGAGUUUUGUUUGUUUAGGCACUAAAACUGUAACUAAUUCAGAUGGAUCAUCCGGAUGACUUUUGAAAAUUUAGGCUUAAUUUUAAAGUUCAUUCAGCUGAACCAAUUUGGAUCAUUUGAAUGGAGAUGGUUCAUUCAAAAUUGUAUAAUGUCUAUUAUACCCCUAAUGUAAUUCACAAAUUACAAACCUAAACAUAAUAUCAUUUUGACACAAACGAAAACUGAUAAAACUACAAAAACACUUUUUCCCGUGCUAAAAACUAUUUUUUCACGCCAAAACCCCAAAACGCAUUUUCCCGCUAAAAUUGCAAAAAAAAUGUUUUCACGUCAAAAUUGCAAAAACGUAUUUUUCCGCAAAAACUGAAAACAUGUUUUCAUGCCAAAAUCACAAAAAAAUGUUUUCACGCCAACACCCCCAAAAUACAUUUUUCCGUCAAAACACAAAAAAAAACACGUUUUCCCGCCAAAGUCGCAAACCGUGUUUUCCCGCCAAAAUUGCAAAAAAAGUUGCAGCUGGUAGUAUAUCUCUAAUUUGCCUCACUGGUUCAGACAUGAAGGGAGAUGGUUGUCGCUUCAUAGCAUAUUGAGGUUGUUGUUGAUCCAUGGUCAUGGAUUUUGCGGCAGGUAAGAAACGGUUCAACAUGAAAUCCCGAGAUUGAUCAGGAUCCUGAGAGGCCAUUGGCGGUUUCGUUGCUUCAAUACUACCACUUACGCUUUGCUUUAGAGAUAAUGUGUCAAGGGCAUCAGAGAAGACAUCAUCAUCUUCACUUUCUU
rnacentral:lncRNA from 1 species